rnacentral:rRNA from 1 species
AGCUAUGUGAGGCAACCCGGCGAACUGAAACAUCUAAGUAGCCGGAGGAAAGGACAUCAACCGAGACUCCGUUAGUAGUGGCGAGCGAACGCGGACCAGGCCAGUGGCCUGAUUGAGAUAACUGGAACCAUCUGGAAAGGUGGGCCAUAGUGGGUGACAGCCCCGUACAGGUACAAUCUUGAUCAGGUCCUUGAGUAGGGCGGAACACGUGAAAUUCUGUCUGAACAUGGGGGGACCACCCUCCAAGCCUAAGUACUCCCAUACGACCGAUAGUGAACCAGUACCGUGAGGGAAAGGUGAAAAGCACCCCGAUGAGGGGAGUGAAAUAGAUCCUGAAACCGAAUGCUUACAAUCAGUUGGAGCCUCCUUGUGGGGUGACAGCGUACCUUUUGUAUAAUGGGUCAGUGACUUAAUCUUGCGAGCGAGCUUAAGCCGAUAGGUGUAGGCGUAGCGAAAGCGAGUCUGAACAGGGCGUCAGAGUUCGUAGGAUUAGACCCGAAACCCGGUGAUCUAGGCAUGGGCAGGUUGAAGGUGCGGUAACACGCACUGGAGGACCGAACCCACUUAUGUUGAAAAAUGAGGGGAUGACCUGUGCCUAGGGGUGAAAGGCCAAUCAAACCGGGAGAUAGCUGGUUCUCCGCGAAAACUAUUUAGGUAGUGCGUCAGACGUUUACCUUCGGGGGUAGAGCACUGGAUGGGCUAGGGGAGCGCGAGCUU